rnacentral:rRNA from 1 species
UUCCCCCAGUAACGGCGAGUGAAGAGGGAAGAGCUCAGAUUGAAAAUCUCCGUUCGGCUUCCGAGCGUGAGAAUUGUGGUCUGUAGACAGUGUUACCAGCAGCGGCCUCGGGAGAAUUCGCCUGGGACGGCGGAUCAUAGAGGGUGACAAUCCCGUCUGUGCCUGAGAGCCCGCUGUGACCGGUGCCUGUUCAAAGAGUCGAGUUGCUUGGGAGUGCAGCUCUAAGUGGGUGGUAAGUUCCAUCUAAAGCUAAAUACUGGCAAGAGACCGAUAGCGAACAAGUACU